UUGAACCCGUCAUCAUUUCGAGUAUAACACAACCUAAACUCCAUAUGUCCAUCGCUCCAAAAUCACCUUUUUUGGUUCCCAAUAUAAUUUCCGGGGCCAUAUACAUUGGAGUACCUGCCAAAUGCUGCAACUCUGGUUGUAUGUCUUCGUACCGUACUUCUGGAUCAGUUGGCGGAGAGACGUACAAAGCGGAUCCAAAAUCACUGUAUUUUAUCAUUCCGCGAUGAUCCAGCAAAAUAUUAGCGGGUUUGAUAUCACGAUGUAAAAUGUGUUGGGAAUGUAUAUAUGCCAAUCCUUCCAAAAGCUGAACUACAUAAACUUUGAGAACAUUUUCAUCUUCAAUACGUCCAUGAGCAAGCAAGUCGGCAAGUGAGCCACCUUGACAAAACUCCAUAAAUAUAUAUACUUUCUCCCUGUGAACUUCUACACCAUAAUAUGUCACAACAUUAGGAUGAUUGAGUCUUUCCAAGACAGUCAUUUCGUUAUGGAUUUGAUCAACUGUGCUUCUAAAAGUACGAGAAUCUUGAAGUUUAAUUUCUUUGACAGCCAACAAGUCCCCCGUUUCCAUGUUCACACCGGUAUAAACAUCUCCAAACAUUCCACUGCGAACAAAGUGCCCUUGCUGCCAACGUAUGGUAAUGUUUGAAAAUGAAGACGCAAGUUUAAUAAAGUCCCGAUUACGAAAAACAGAAUCAUCCAAAACAUGUCCGAUAGCCAAGCGCUCAAGUAAGGUAUUGUUUCUUUCAAUCUCCAGUUCAUCAAUACGUAGCAUUGUUUCUUUCUGAAGUAGCUGGAUGCUCAAAGCUUCCUCCUCUACAUCUCCAAAGCUAGUGAGUCUUGGAGACGAUGAUACCUCGGUCGACUCUCUUUGUAAUUUUGCAGCUACUUUUGAUUUUGCACCCAAAACAUCGAAAUGCGUUAACAGAAAAGCCAUAGACUUGCCAACUUUUUCCCUAAUCUUUAAAAACAUCGCAUCAUCAAUCAGUAAAAUAUUGUUUCCACGGAUCAUUAGCAUUAAGAACUCUAAGGCUCCAACUCCCCAGCGAAAAGUUUUUCUAUCCAUCAAAUCGCAUUCGUCGCAAAUGAAUGAAAUCCAUUCAACAGCAAGACUGGUAAUUUUCCGCUUUAGCUUCGUUUGCCAAUAUGAAUCGAAACUCAAAAACCGCAAAAUACGCUGCCCAAAUUCGGCGGCAAAAGAAAAUACGUGAUAAAUCAGAUCGUGACAAUUAACUCCUGAACAUGCCUCACGUACUGCAGAUACACAAUCCACUACCGUAGAAGAUAUUCGCAUACAUAACUUGCUCAGACGAAUAAAUUCUUUGUAAACUCGAGUUAUGCUCGAUCGGCAUUCAACUGCGAGUGUUACGAGGUCGCCGCUUAUGCUCUGAAAAACAGAUUUCGCAGCUUGCAAAUGCUCUCGUUUGUUAGAUGCGAUAAUUCUAACUCUAUUAGUUUUCAAAUCAACUGAAAAAUCAGGAACGUCCACUUUUUCAAUCCUUCCCUUCCAAACUAUCGGAUGAACGGGACAUAAAAUGAGAACAUAGGAGCAAUUUUGUUGUAUCGUUUCAAGGUUAGAUAUAUCUUUACUAAAAAGUAAGGCCUUCAGUGCUUCUGGGUUUUCGGAUAAAGUGUGAUCAGCUAUGACAAAUACUCCGUCUCUCUCUAAAUUGGCUGUAUAAGCUAAAAAAUGACCAGUA